rnacentral:rRNA from 1 species
UCCCUACGGAGGCAGCAGUGGGGAAUAUUGCACAAUGGGCGCAAGCCUGAUGCAGCGACGCCGCGUGCGGGAUGGAGGCCUUCGGGUUGUAAACCGCUUUUGUUCAAGGGCAAGGCACGGUCUUUGGCCGUGUUGAGCGGAUUGUUCGAAUAAGCACCGGCUAACUACGUGCCAGCAGCCGCGGUAAUACGUAGGGUGCAAGCGUUAUCCGGAUUUAUUGGGCGUAAAGGGCUCGUAGGCGGUUCGGCGCGUCCGGUGUGAAAGUCCAUCGCUUAACGGUGGAUCCGCUCAGGGUACGGGCGGGG